rnacentral:rRNA from 1 species
AACGAACGCUGGCGGCGUGCCUAACACAUGCAAGUCGAACGAGAAAGGGGCUUCGGCUCCGAGUAAAGUGGCGCACGGGUGAGUAACACGUGGGUAACCUGCCUCUAAGAUUGGGAUAACUCGUCGAAAGAUGAGCUAAUACCGAAUAAGACCACAGUUCCCGCGGGAACAGGGGUCAAAGGUAGCCUCUGCUUGCAAGCUAUCACUUAGAGAUGGGCCUGCGCACCAUUAGCUAGUUGGUAGGGUAACGGCCUACCAAGGCAAAGAUGGUUAGCUGGUCUGAGAGGAUGAUCAGCCACACUGGAACUGAGACACGGUCCAGACUCCUACGGGAGGCAGCAGUGGGGAAUAUUGCGCAAUGGGCGAAAGCUUGACGCAGCAACGCCGCGUGAGUGAUGAAGGCCUUCGGGUCGUAUAGCUCUGUCGGGAGGAACGAAUGCUCCUGAGGUUAACAGCCUCGGGAGGUGACGGUACCUUCAAAGGAAGCACCGGCUAACUCUGUG